rnacentral:tRNA from 1 species
AUUUAUAUAGUUUAAUGAAAAACAUUAUAUUUUCAUUAUAAAAAUAAUCUAAAAUUUUAAUAUUUAUAAAUA